rfam:Corchorus olitorius cultivar O-4 contig03149, whole genome shotgun sequence.
UUUGGCGUUGGGUUUGCGGGCAAUAAUGCCAUUACCAACCGCAUGCAGCAGGUGCGUUUUACCCAGGCCCGUGCCGCCAUA